CAGCAUUCGGGGGGAUUAUCUUUAAUAUUAUUAUUCAUACUUGGCACAAACUCCUUACAUUUCCACCCGGGAGCAAGGUGCCCGCCGUUUAUUAUCCCCCCACGUCGGAUCGCCACUACCCCGGUUACUAGGGACGCUCCGUCAUUUCGGCAUCACGUGACGGGUCAAGCCCUCACGACAUCCCGGGUAUAAAACGAGAGAGCUGCCUUCGGCUCGUUGCUCGACUCGCAACUUUCAAAAAAACAACCAAAGGUUGAUAAUACUUUGUGUGACUUUGUACUCACGACCCACAUCAUAAAGCACCAUGCGUGAGAUCGUCCACAUUCAGGCCGGACAGUGCGGUAACCAGAUCGGUGCCAAGUUCUGGGAGGUGAUCUCAGACGAGCACGGCAUUGACCCCACCGGCACCUACCACGGAGACAGCGACCUCCAGCUCGAGAGGAUCAACGUCUACUACAAUGAGGCCACAGGCGGCAAAUACGUGCCCCGCGCCAUCCUGGUGGAUCUGGAGCCCGGAACCAUGGACAGUGUCCGCUCCGGACCCUUCGGCCAGAUCUUCAGACCCGACAACUUCGUGUUCGGACAGUCUGGAGCUGGAAACAACUGGGCCAAGGGCCACUACACAGAAGGCGCCGAGCUGGUCGACUCUGUCCUCGACGUGGUGAGGAAGGAGGCUGAGUCCUGUGACUGUCUCCAGGGCUUCCAGCUGACCCACUCUCUGGGUGGCGGCACCGGCUCUGGCAUGGGAACCCUGCUCAUCUCCAAGAUCCGUGAGGAAUACCCCGACAGGAUCAUGAACACCUUCUCCGUCGUGCCAUCCCCCAAGGUAAGUCGUCCGAAUGUGCCUGUUUGUUUGUCGCUUUGUUUGUCUGAAUGAAUAGAAAACCAUGAUCGCCGAUAUUAAUUAUUUCUUUUUGUACCUGACUAUUGUCACCUUCGUGCACAUUCCAGAACCCUGAAACUGACCACCCCCACAUACGGUGACUUGAACCAUCUGGUCAGCGCCACCAUGUCCGGUGUCACCACCUGCCUCCGCUUCCCCGGCCAGCUGAACGCUGACUUGAGGAAACUGGCUGUCAACAUGGUGCCCUUCCCACGUCUGCAUUUCUUCAUGCCCGGAUUCGCCCCACUGACCUCUCGUGGUAGCCAGCAGUACAGAGCUCUGACUGUCCCCGAGCUGACCCAGCAGAUGUUCGACGCCAAGAACAUGAUGGCUGCCUGCGACCCACGUCACGGCCGCUACCUCACCGUGGCCGCCAUGUUCCGUGGCCGUAUGUCCAUGAAGGAGGUGGAUGAGCAGAUGCUCAACGUGCAGAACAAGAACUCCUCCUACUUCGUUGAAUGGAUCCCCAACAACGUGAAGACCGCCGUCUGUGACAUUCCUCCUCGUGGCCUCAAGAUGUCCGCCACCUUCGUCGGCAACAGCACCGCCAUCCAGGAGCUGUUCAAGCGUAUCUCAGAGCAGUUCACUGCUAUGUUCAGGCGCAAGGCUUUCCUCCAUUGGUACACUGGCGAGGGCAUGGAUGAGAUGGAGUUCACUGAAGCUGAGUCCAACAUGAACGACUUGGUCUCUGAGUACCAGCAGUACCAGGACGCCACCGCCGAGGAGGAGGGAGAGUUCGACGAGGAGGAGGGUGAGGAGGAGGCCUAAAUUAGGUCAACUUCGCCACACCGCACGUCUGAAAGACCUCGUUCCAGAACUGAUUGCGUUGUUCCACGCAUGCGCAAGUUGGGUCCGGAAGUUGCGUCUCAAAAACUUUUGCCCCACUGAAGGCGUCAGAAGGCGAGAAAACUUAAGCUAUAGCGUGGUUCCAAGCCGAAGGAUGAGACCAGGAUUUCGGAAGAACAUCGCCUUUGUGUUGUUGAAAACGCCUUAUGAAUCGUCUGCUGUUGUCUUCUGUGGGGCAUACUCAGUGAUUUUAUUCUUUCGAAUCAGUUGAUUUGACCUCCCCCUCGAACAUUGAGUGCCAACAUGUAGCCGACCAGAUUUUUGUUAUACAAGUCGUACUAUGAGGAAACCGGGGACAACUUAACUGCUAUUUGCGGGAAUAAAUUCACAACCGAUCACAAAA